UGCCAGCCGCCGCGGUAAUACGGAGGGAGCUAGCGUUGUUCGGAAUUACUGGGCGUAAAGAGUACGUAGGCGGUUAUUCAAGUCAGAGGUGGAAGCCCGGGGCUCAACCCCGGAACGGCCUUUGAAACUAGGUAGCUAGAAUCUUGGAGAGGUCAGUGGAAUUCCGAGUGUAGAGGUGAAAUUCGUAGAUAUUCGGAAGAACACCAGUGGCGAAGGCGACUGACUGGACAAGUAUUGACGCUGAGGUACGAAAGCGUGGGGAGCAAACAGGAUUAGAUA
rnacentral:rRNA from 1 species